GUGAUUUUUCCAGAUGCGGACUGGCUAGAUGCCCACUGAAGAGCGGCAGAGGAGGAGAGCAGAGCGCCGUAAGAAGGUGGCGGUCAGGCCUUGGCAUGGCAGGCUGAAGAAUCCGACUCCGAGCGGCCGAGGAAAAGGGACGGGCGAGAGGAAGGCGUUUCCAAGGAGGGCUUCGUCGCAGCGGAGGUCGACGCCGGGCGGCAUGUCGGCGACUGGCGAUGCUCUGUCUCGUGAGGGAUGAAGCGGAACCCGGCGGAUGGGGGAGCGUCCCGGUUAGAUGACCUUUUCCCCAUGAGAAGGGAAUCUGGAUUCUGCCCUCUGAAAGGUGCCACGGCAUGAUUUGGAUUCCCGCACGACAGCCUCGAGUGAGGUUUUUGUGGAGUAUCCAAGCAACAGCGAAGGAGCGGUGCAGUUAGCAAGGCAUCUUCCCUGGUCCCUGCCUAUGAGCGCUAACUCUACAGAGUCAGGCGGAGCGGCGAUGCUGUCUUAAGGGACAG